CCGGCACGGGUGAGUAACACGUAUCCAACCUGCCGUCUACUCUUGGACAGCCUUCUGAAAGGAAGAUUAAUACAAGAUGGCAUCAUGAGUCCACAUGUUCACAUGAUUAAAGGUAUUCCGGUAGACGAUGGGGAUGCGUUCCAUUAGAUAGUAGGCGGGGUAACGGCCCACCUAGUCAACGAUGGAUAGGGGUUCUGAGAGGAAGGUCCCCCACAUUGGAACUGAGACACGGUCCAA
rnacentral:rRNA from 1 species